GAUGACGAAAGUGUAACUGAACCUAUUGUGAGUUGUUGUACCACCAAAAUGACCUGGAAAAUAUAGUUUAAAGGCUGAAAAAGUCCAUCGUGUUACUUUAAUAAAAAGAUGGGUUUU